GGGGAUUUAGCUCAGUGGUAGAGCGCUUGCCUAGAAAGUGCAAGGUCCUGGGUUCGGUCCCCAGCUCCG
rnacentral:tRNA from 1 species